GAUGAAGAACGUAGCGAAAUGCGAUAAGUAAUGUGAAUUGCAGAAUUCAGUGAAUCAUCGAAUCUUUGAACGCACAUUGCGCCCGCCAGCAUUCUGGCGGGCAUGCCUGUUCGUGCGUCAUUUCAACCCUCGAGCCCCCCCGGGGGCCUCGGUGUUGGGGGACGGCACACCAGCCGCCCCCGAAAUGCAGUGGCGACCUCGCCGCAGCCUCCCCUGCGUAGUAGCACACACCUCGCACCGGAGCGCGGAGACGGUCACGCCGUAAAACGCCCAACUUCUUAGAGUUGACCUCGGAUCAGGUAGGAAUACCCGCUGAACUUAAGCAUAUCAAUAAGCGGAGGA
rnacentral:misc_RNA from 1 species